GUCCUUUGACCCCAACCACAGACUUUGUUUUGUCUACUUUGACCUAAAAGAAAGAGAAAGAAAUAUAUAUAUAAUCAGCACAAAGGUAUCACAAUCAUUUUAGACAUUUUCCAGGAAGGUGGAAGAGCACUUGAGAAUGUAGUGACUGGAGACAGGAAGUAAGGUUGUGCAUCCAUAGCAGUGACCAGAGGACAAAAGACCACUGGGAGGAGCGCAGAGAGAAGAAACGCCUUGGUGCAUCCACAGCAGCACAAUCAGAUGCCUUCAUCUGCCCGAGCUGCAACAAAACAUGUCUUUCCCAUAUCAGUCUCUGCAGUAACAGCAGAUGCUGUAACUUUCCAACAAUUUUACUUCACUCCUAAAGGCACACUCCUCCAUUGUCUCCUGAGACAGACGGAUGCCAACUAACCAGUAAUCCUUUAAGAAUGCAAUUCAUACUGAAAAACAGAUGCUUAAAACUUAAUGAUUGCUUAAACCAUGCCUAUCUAGCUGUAUAGUUACAUUGUACUCUGUUGGGAUAUACUACACAAAAGGGUGCUGAAAGAGGAGGUAAUUGGAUACUUACUGCAAGAAAGA